UGGUGUCGGUUUUAACCGACAUCGUCGAAUUUUGAAACUUUGAACCCCUACUUAAAACCCAUCUUUCUCUUCCCUUCACACCAUCCUUCUUUGCGCCGCUAGUCCCUUCCCCUUCUUCUUGUCCUUCCCUCAGCAUUCUCUCAAGGGGAUAUCUUUAGGACUCCCCAUUCCAUAUGCUUUUAGCCCAGUUUUAACCCUUUUCCAUAUGAUUUUAGCAAUGUGGUUGAUGAAGACACAUGGUUGAAAAUGAACAAAGGUUUCAUAGAUGACUUUGAUUACCUUCAAAUGACUCCCCGCCAUGUGACGAAGCUCCUGCCAGUCUAAUUUUCAUCUAUUUUUCUUACGUUUCCCUGACCUUUGUUUUUCUAUUUAUUGCUUAAGUUCUAUGUGUUGUUUUCACUUAUCAAACCUUUUCAGGUCUCAACUGAGAACUACAAGCAGGAUGUCCAUAAUUUGAAGAGACAACUGAACGAUCAAUUAGUUCGAUCGAGAGAGAACUGAACUACAAAAAGAAGCAAAGCUAAUUAGAGAAAUCCCUCAUAGGCUUUCUGAAUGUGCAGCAACUUGCAAAGGCUUUUAUGUGGAUGUGUUAUCAAAGACUCAGUUGAUCUGAUCAUGCAGUUGCUCAUAACCCUAGGAGGAGGAAGGAGGAGGAGGGAAGAGCACAUGAUACUUAAUUCAACCUAUUGAUGGAACACAUACAAGCAAUGGUAUUGAGACCUGAAAUAGCCAGCUAUCGUGAUCGUCAUGAUAAAAUAGCACAAAAUGUAUUAGCCGCUUGUAAUUUGAUUUGGAAUUCAUAUAUAUUCUUAGCGGAUGGGAGGGUUCAGCUCGUGACUCCAUCUAGAUGAUGUUGUAUCAAGGAGGAACAGACUUAAAGUGAAGAUUCGUAUUCAUGUAAAUAGUUAUUUUUAUACUAGAUGUACUAGAAAUCAUAACUUUAUGUGUUUUGACUUUAAUUAGGUAAAGUUUUUCUA